AUCUGCCUUUUAGAGGGGAAUAACUAGGAGAAAUCCUAGCUAAUACCGCGUAAGACCACACUUAGGCAUCUAAGAGAGGUCAAAGGAGUAAUCCGCUAAAAGAUGAGCCUGUGGCUGACUAGUUAGUUGGUGGGGUAAGAGCCUACCAAGACGAUGAUCAGUAGCCGAGCUGAGAGGCUGGCCGGCCACAUUGGGACUGAGAUACGGCCCAGACUCCUACGGGAGGCAGCAGUUGGGAAUAUUGGACAAUGGAGGAAACUCUGAUCCAGUGACGCCGCGUGAAGGAAGAAGGUCUUCGGAUUGUAAACUUAUUUUAUCAGGGAAGAAGAAAGUGACAGUACCUGAAGAAAAAGGACCGGCAAACUACGUGCCAGCAGCCGCGGUAAUACGUAGGGUCCAAGCGUUAUCCGGAUCUACUGGGUGUAAAGGGCGAGUAGACGGCGCUGUAAGUCAGCUGUGAAAACUUAGGGCUCAACCUUAAGCCUGCAGCUGAAACUGUAGUGCUAGAGUGCAGGAGAGGUAAGCGGAAUUCCUAGUGUAGCGGUGAAAUGCGUAGAUAUUAGGAGGAACACC
rnacentral:rRNA from 1 species